UGGCGUCCUGGGUGGUGCCGGUGCGUCGGCUUGCCUCAUGGGCGAGCUCGGCCGCUAGCGGGGUGUUACCCGUGGCGGCCGCCC
rnacentral:tRNA from 1 species